UACAGAGGUCUCAAGCGUUGUCCGGAAUCAUUGGGCGUAAAGCGCGUGUAGGCGGUUCGGUAAGUCCGCUGUGAAAGUCGGGGGCUCAACCCUCGAAAGCCGGUGGAUACUGUCGGGCUAGAGUACGGAAGAGGCGAGUGGAAUUCCUGGUGUAGCGGUGAAAUGCGCAGAUAUCAGGAGGAACACCAAUUGCGAAGGCAGCUCGCUGGGACGUUACUGACGCUGAGACGCGAAAGCGUGGGGAGCAAACAGG
rnacentral:rRNA from 1 species